rnacentral:rRNA from 1 species
GAUGAACGCUGGCGGCGUGCCUAAUACAUGCAAGUCGAGCGAACAGACGAGGAGCUUGCUCCUCUGACGUUAGCGGCGGACGGGUGAGUAACACGUGGAUAACCUACCUAUAAGACUGGGAUAACUUCGGGAAACCGGAGCUAAUACCGGAUAAUAUAUUGAACCGCAUGGUUCAAUAGUGAAAGACGGUUUUGCUGUCACUUAUAGAUGGAUCCGCGCCGCAUUAGCUAGUUGGUAAGGUAACGGCUUACCAAGGCGACGAUGCGUAGCCGACCUGAGAGGGUGAUCGGCCACACUGGAACUGAGACACGGUCCAGACUCCUACGGGAGGCAGCAGUAGGGAAUAUUCCGCAAUGGGCGAAAGCCUGACGGAGCAACGACGCGUGAGUGAUGAAGGUCUUCGGAUCGUAAAACUCUGUUAUUAGGGAAGAACAAAUGUGUAAGUAACUAUGCACGUCUUGACGGUACCUAAUCAGAAAGCCGCGGCUAACUACGUG